UGGCUCUAAAAGUUUAAACCAAUAAAUAAUGUUUACAUUUGUAACCAUGUAAAUAUAUCUUUUGCAAAGCCGGCAAAGUCCUAUAAUUAGAUUUCUUUCUUGUAUUUGUUUUCGUUUCUUAUAGUUUCAGAUUACCUUUCUGCACCUCUCUCUUAACCCUUCUCUUCUCUUUCCUUGCCAUGACUAUUUCCUCGUGUUUGUUUCUGAGUUUUCUGCUUAUGGAGUAUUCUCUUUCUGAGGUUCCUUUUUCCCGGGCACCUCACGCAGGGCCCCCUCCAUUACAUGCUCUAAUUUGGGCGUGUUGCUUUUCUGUUAGGCAGCUGUUGGCUGGGCGCGUCCAUUCGCUGCUGCCCUGAGCUGGUCCCACUGUUCUCUUCCCCUUCCUGCCUUCUUUAUUCUGUCCCUCCCUCCCUCUGUUCUUGUGCAGGCUAUUAUUCUGCUGCACCGCAUCUCAGAAUGUUGAUGGCAUCAUUCCAGCUUUUGCUAAUGAGAGCCCUGAGGAAGGACAUUGUAAAGCAAUUCGUAUCACCUCUACGGAAGGCUAUUUGACAACAUCCAUCAAAAUUAUAACCGCACCUGUGCCUCGACCUGCGCUUGCGCUGCUGGGAAGUUUUCCCGCAUGUGGAGCCAUUACCGUGCAGGAGGACAGAUGCGCAGAGUGAUUUGCGGCCGCGCAAUAACUGCUUAUAAAUGUAAAACGACUGGAGCCAGCCCAAAUGACUAUUAGUAGAGAUUUGCUAAAUAAACUAGA